AGAGUUAAACAGUACGUGAAAUUGUUGAAAGGGAAACGAUUGAAGCCAGUCGUAUCGACGGAAAAUCAACUUCUUGGGUGCUUAUCGUGGGUGAUGUUGAGCCUCACGGUCUUCAUCGCUUGUGUUGUGGUGCCUUUGAGGUGCACUUUUUCGUAUGGUAGGUCAACAUCGAUUUUGAUCGUCAUAAAAUGAUCGGAGGAAUGUAGCUUCGAUCUCGUAUUGGAGUGUUAUAGCCUUUGGUAGAUGUGAUGAUUGGGAUCGAGGAUUGCAAUGAAUACCCUUUGGGCUAUCCGUCUGACCUCUGAUUGUUGCUCGGGUGCUGAAAGCUUGCUUAUGGCUAUUCGAGUUGGCGGUCAACAGGUUAGAACGUGAUUACAUUCGUUAAGGAUGUUGGCGUAAUGGCUUUAAACGACC
rnacentral:rRNA from 1 species